CUAAGAAUUUUGUGUAAAAUGUCGGCGAGCGGCGGACGGCCGAGUAACGCGUGGGAACGUACCCCAAAGUGAGGGAUAACGCAUCGAAAGGUGUGCUAAUACCGCAUAUGGUCUUCGGAUUAAAGCCUUCGGGCGCUUUGGGAACGGCCUGCGUAAGAUUAGAUAGUUGGUGGGGUAAUGGCCUACCAAGUCGACGAUCUUUAACUGGUUUGAGAGGAUGAUCAGUCAGACUGGAACUGAGACACGGUCCAGACUCCUACGGGAGGCAGCAUG
rnacentral:rRNA from 1 species